rnacentral:rRNA from 1 species
GAGUUUGAUCCUGGCUCAGGAUAAACGCUGGCGGCGCACAUAAGACAUGCAAGUCGAACGAACUUAAUCGUUAGUUUACUAAUGAAGCGGUUAGUGGCGGACUGGUGAGUAACACGUAAGCAACCUGCCUAUUAGAGGGGAACAACAGUUAGAAAUGACUGCUAAUACCGCAUAUGCCAUAAGUAUCGCAUGAUACAAGUGGGAAAAGGAGCAAUCCGCUAAAUAGAUGGGCUUGCGUCUGAUUAGAUAGUUGGUGGGUAACGGCCUA